rnacentral:misc_RNA from 1 species
AAGACGACUAUGAAAGUGAGUGAUGAUGGUAAAUUGUGGUACGAUUGGUUUCAGACGUACAUUAUAAGACUAAACAUUGUAAAAUUUCGCCUCUGUUUUUCCGGACCUGCAUGGUCUCCGGAAAGUUAAAGCCACCUGGGGUUCUGGAUACAGCUUAAGAACAAACUGUUUUCCAAUAACAUUUUUAUGGACAGAAAAUAACAUUUGUAAUAUUUA